UACGUAGGGCGCAAGCGUUUGUCCGGAAUUAUUGGGCGUAAAGAGCUCGUAGGUGGUUUGUCGCGUCUGUCGUGAAAUCCCGAGGCUCAACCUCGGGUCUGCAGUCGAUACGAGCAAACUAGAGUGUUGCAGGGGAGACUGGAAUUCCUGGUGUAGCGGUGAAAUGCGCAGAUAUCAGGAGGAACACCGGUGGCGAAAGGCGGGUCUCUGGGCAACAACUGAC
rnacentral:rRNA from 1 species